AGAAUCAACGCUGGCGGCGUGCCUAACACAUGCAAGUCGAACGAGAAAGGGUAGCAAUACCUGAGUAAAGUGGCGCACGGGUGAGUAACACGUGACUAACCUACCUUUUAGUGGGGGAUAACCUAGGGAAACCUGGGCUAAUACCGCAUAAUACCUACGGGUCAAAGCAGUAAUGCGCUGGAAGAGGGGGUCGCGGCCGAUUAGCUAGUUGGCGGGGUAAUGGCCCACCAAGGCAGUGAUCGGUAUCCGGCCUGAGAGGGCGCACGGACACACUGGAACUGAAACACGGUCCAGACUCCUACGGGAGGCAGCAGUGGGGAAUUUUGCGCAAUGGGGGAAACCCUGACGCAGCAACGCCGCGUGGAGGAUGAAGACCCUUGGGUCGUAAACUCCUUUCGAUCGGGACGAUAAUGACGGUACCGGAAGAAGAAGCCCCGGCUAACUUCGUGCCAGCAGCCGC
rnacentral:rRNA from 1 species